GUCAGGUUGGUCCAGUGGUUAAAAUGUUGGACUGGGACCCAGGAGACCCGGGUUCAAAUCCCCACUUGUGGACA